rnacentral:rRNA from 1 species
GUACACGCUGUGACUAGCAUAUCAAUAAGCGGAGGAAAAGAAACUAACAAGGAUUCCCCUAGUAACGGCGAGUGAAGCGGGAAGAGCUCAAAUUUGAAAUCUUAAAGGGUUUCCCUUUACGAAUUGUAGUUUAAAGAAGUGUUUUCCGUUGAGGUUUUGGUAAAAGUUCUUUGGAAUAGGACAUCAUAGAGGGUGAGAACCCCGUAUUUGACCUUUACUUUCAACUUUGUGAUACACUUUCAAAGAGUCGGAUUGUUUGGGAAUGCAGUCCAAAAUGGGUGGUAAAUUUCAUCUAAAGCUAAAUAUUGGCGAGAGACCGAUAGCGAACAAGUACCGUGAGGGAAAGAUGAAAAGAACUUUGAAAAGAGAGUUAAACAGUACGUGAAAUUGUCAAAAGGGAAGCGUUUGACACCAGUGUUGUUUUUCUGAAAAUCAAUUAAAGAACUGUUUAUGCUAAGCUGUUUAGACUUUAUCAGCUAACUGUUUAGUUUUGAGCUUUUCUUUAAUGCACUUUUCAGUUAACAAGUCAACAUCAAUUUCUUUUGCUGUAAAAAAGCUUGAGGAAGGUGGCUUGAGAUUCGUCUUAAGUGUUUAUAGCCUCUUGCCUAUGCAGUCGGAGAGAUUGAGGUCUGCAGCGUAGAUCCUUCGGGGCUAAAUGCAUUUGUGCUAAGUUAUAGCAUUUCAUAGACAAUUUGUUGACUAUGAUUUGUCUUGUAGCUUACUCGCUUAUGUUAUUUUACCUACGCUUAGGAUGUUGAAGUCAUCGUAUCGCGC